UCACACUCUUGCUAUGAGCCAUGAAUCAAAACUUAUUUUGAGGAGAAAAGCAACCCAGAAAGGCCCUGUUGGAUACCCCACCUCCUCCUCUGAGAAUAUCAGGUGAACAUUCUCUCAUUCAUUUUGCCACUUUGUUUAUAUCCAAAUAUCUGGAUAUUAACGGACAAAUGCAGGAGCCAGUUGGGUCCCCAGAACUUCGAAAUUAACCUUUCUGAGCAAAGGAAAAAGCUCUUCCCGUCCUCUCAGGGUGAGUGACUGAUUGGGCAGCUUGCUUCAACGUUCGGACACACCCAGAAAAUUGUUCCAGACUGUGGAUCAGAGGCCUCUAAGUGUGUCAAACUCACUUGCCUCUAGGUAGCUGGGCUGCUGUUCCCGGUCCAGCUGUAUAACCAUAUAAUAUGUCACCCAUCUCCAGACAGUUUAUUUAGUAAAAAGAGUUGUUUUUGAUGAGCAUGCUGUGACCAAAGACUCAACCUAGGACAACGCCUGGGGAACCAGGACCCACCGCCUAAGUCUGCCUGGGUAACUUCUGGGGCCGCCAAUGGCUGGUGACACCCCCCUGCCCACCUGCAGCUGUCCUUAGGGCUGGCCUGUGGUAAAAAUGACAGGCGAAGAUCUUAAGAAAGUACAGUUUUUAUGAGACCAACUGUUUUGUGAAUGCUCUCAACAACAGAGCCCCAUGUCUGCAGAUCUUCCAGAGGGCUAACGAAAGCCAAGUUUGAGGAAGCGUGGCUCUCACUCUGAGGGAAAAUGUGAAAAAAAGAUUAUAGAAAUCAGGAGUUCCCACUGUGUAAUGAAUCUGACUAGUACCCAUGAGGAUGCAGGUUCAAUCCCUGUCCUUGCUCAGUGGGUUAAGGAUCCGGCAUUGCCACGAGCUGUGGUGUAGGUCACAGACGCGGCUUGGGUCCCAUGUGGCUGUGGCUGUGGUGUAGGCCGGCAGCUGCAGCUCUGAUUCAACCCCUAACUUGGGAACCUCCAUAUGCCGUGGGUGUGGCCCUAAAAAGAAAAGAAAAGAUUACAAAAAUCAGAUGACACAAUGAAAAGAAGCGGAGGAGGUGGACUGUGCGUGGACCUGCAUAGAAACAGCAAUUUUGCAGAAGCACCUCUGAGUGGAGUUCUAGGGACAGACCGAAUAGGCUUUGUGGAGACACACCCUGUCACUCCUACGAAGUCCUGCAGGUAACUGGCUCCCAUGACCAGCAUGAUGGGAAAAGAACAAGGGCCUUUCUAUGCUACAGCCACACAAAGAUGCUGCAAAAGAAGGGAAAGAAAAGGCAGCACAGAUUACCAACAGAGGAAGGGAAUUCUCCAGAAAAGCAUUGCCUUGCAAGAGAUGAAAAAUUGUAGGAAGUGAAAUCUUCAUUCGUUUAAAAUAAAUGCUAUUUUAAGAGGUGUACAAUGAAGCCGAAAGGCAAGAACUCAGAAUGUAGAAACGGAGGAUGUUAAUCACAGGUGGGCAGAGGGCAGGACAGAAAGAUGAGGAUGGCAUUGGAUAGAGUCCAAAGGCAAAUGAACACUAACAAGAAAAAUGAGGUGACCUGAAGAGUAGAAGCGAGAAAAGUCAAAAGAAAACGGGAAAAAAGUGUUAAACUUAUCACAGGACACAGGUAUGCAAGAAACUAGCCCAAAUAAUGUUGAGCAUAGUAUGUUGACUCUGUACCUCAGAUUGAAGAUAAAAAUGCUGUACCCAUGCUGAAUUCUAACUAGGAGCUUUGUUGGUCCUGGUCAUUUGGGCUACUCAUUUGGCAACCACUUCUGAGUAUUUUUGGAUAGAGAAGUAAUUGCCUUAAGAACAAGCAACUGUAACUUUCUCCUCUUCUGAUGGAGAGCUGAGUUACCAAGUAUGGCGAGGGCGGAGAUUAAGAACUUGUGUGCAGGGGAAUUGGGACAUCUGUGUAAUGACUGCAUGUGAGCGUGCAUGCACACACACACAAACACAUGCAUGUGCACACGCACUCGUGACUCCAGCCACAGAGUCCUCGGGUCUCCUGGGUGAAGGGGCCCUGGAGCAGUCUGCCUCGGCACCUGUGACAACUCACAUCUUGAGCUCUGCAAACCAUUCUAAUAAAUUGGCUUGAAACAAUGGUUUCCUUGGCGACACAGUUGCGUCCAGGGCUGUGUCAAGGGACGUAUAAGGUGAGGGCUAGAAUGGGAUGGAAGAAAGUGACCAGAGAAUGGAGCCCCGUGCUGACGAAGACGUUGCACGAGCCAACUGAUGAAGAUGUUCCACUGGUCAUUUCAGGUACAAUUUGAGCAUCGAAAUACAUAAGGAUAGAAAGACGUAGUUAUCCAUUGAAUGAACUGAGAAUUGCUCAUUCCCUGAGUGAACGGGAAGGAAACACUCCUCCUUGCUGAAGAAAACCAACAAAGAAACGUGGAAGGGAAGGCAAGGUUAGGAAGUCCUUGUCUGACAGCUGUUGACUGAGGCCAAAACCAGGGGUAGAAAGUUGGAGCCACGAAACAUCUUGUUUCCAAGGGUCCAAGAUACUUCUUAACAGAAAGGACCACAGAGGAGCUUUGCACCUGAGAAACCUUGCAGACGCCACAUUCCCCAAAGGACGGAAGUUACCUUCACCCCCAAACGAGGUCAAGUCACCCUUGCUAUGGUUCGUAAGACGAUCACAGCGUCACUUCCGAGGGUCUUCUGCCCCAGAUACGUGACCUGCAACAAAUCACGACAAAAUAUCUAAGUACCCACACUGAGUGACAUUCUCAAAACAAUGGCUCAAAGUUUUUAAAGAAAGUGAAAUGUAAAAACAUGCUUCUGAUUAAAGGAGACUCAAGUGAUCAUGAUUAAUAUAAUACGUGUCCUUUUGUGAAACCCUGGCCUGGGCUGGGCAGGGGUCCUUUAUGAUAGACAUUAUUGGGACAAUUAAUGACAUUUUGAACAGAGACUGCGAAUUCCAUAACAGUAUUGUAUCAUAUUCAGUUUCCUGGAUUUGAACAUUCUUCUGUCGUUUCAUAAGAGUAUCCUUGUUUUUCGGGAAUAUACUGAUAUAUUUAGGGUAAAAGUGUGCUGCCUGGGAACCUCCUUAUGCCAUAAGAGCGGCCCCAGAAAAGGCAAAAAGACAAAUAAAAUAAAAUAAAAUAAAUAAAUAAAUGGGGGGAGUUCCUGUCAUGGCUCAGCAGAAAUGAAUCUGACUGAUGCGGGUUCAAUCCCUGGCCUUGCCCAGUGGGUUAAGGAUCCAGCAUUGUGGUGAGCUGUGGUGUAGGUCACAGAUGGGGCUUGGAUCCUGCAUUGUGGUGGCUGUGGUGUAGGCCGGUGGCUGUAGCUCCAAUUUGACCCCUAGCCUAGGAAUCUCCAUAUGCCACAGGUACGGCCCUAAAAAAAAAAAAAAAAAAAAAAAAAAAAAAAGAACUUUUAAUGCAGUGGGGCACACCAAGACCUACGGAGAAAUGUUGCUCUUUUCUACACAGCAACUUUUGCAAAGGGUAAAGACAUCCAAAGUAUGAAGAGUGGGCUAAAGAUUUUGUAUUCAUGGAAGCAUCCUUCAGGUAUAAGGGCUGCAGGCAAAUGGUUUUGAACUUGUGCAAACCCAGGAAAACAUUGUGCCUGUGAGCUCAUCCAAGGAGGUUAUUGGAAGAUGCUUGUUAGCUAAUGACCAAGAGACGUUACAAGAACCCUCACAGUGAAAGAUUUAGGGUGAGCAUUGCACAUGGAGGAGGAAAACCAAGACCCCCACAAAUGUCGGUGCUAAAGAACCCAAGGAUGUGUGUAUGAGACAACUGAUACAAUGAAGAGAGAAAAAGGGAAAGAAAUUGUGGAAAUAACUGUCGUAUUUGUAAUAACUGGAUCAAAAGAUCAAUUUUAAAACUGACACAUUUAAUAGUAGGUGCACAGAGCUGAGAAAAUAGGAAAUUGCAUGUGAAAAAAAUGUUUAACAAGAAUAUGAAGAAAACUCUGAAAUAGAAGGGCAAUGGGCAAGAAUUACACUUAGAAAACAAAAAACAGAGAUUUGUAAAUCAGAUACAUUAAAACAGCAUGGUAUUGCUGUAUAAUUAGAACAAUGGAAAACAGAAAAGAAAAAAAAAAAGUUCAGAAAUUGACCCUAAUUCCAAUUUUGUGCAUGAUAGAUGAAGAAGCACAAAAUAGACAAUUUGAGAUGAUACUAUGGGGCAGGUUUCUGGGGGAAAAAAGGUAAAUCCUACAACAGAAAUAGAAUUCAGGUUAUGCAAUAGGCGUUCCUCUUUGGCUCAGUGGGUUAAGAAUCUGGCCUAGUCACUGCUGUGGCACGAGUUCGAUCCCUGGCCCAGGAACUUCUGCAUACUAUGGGCACAAGCAAACAACAACAACGACCACCAAACAAAAACAAAAGCCAUGUUAGGUUAUGCUACAGUAAAAGGGACCCUAAAAUCACAGUUGCUUAAUUGAAUCUAAUUUAAUCCAACAAAGGUUGAUUACUCAUUCAGGUUAUUGAUCCAUUGUUGAGCAGAGUGGUCAAUGUGCUAUCUUUAUGCAAUCUGAAACUAUUCUAAAAUUUUUAAAAAAUUUAUUUUUAAAAAAUCCAAAUCUUAUAUUCUGCCCCAUAUAACUGCUUUCUCUGAAGUGGGUGAGGAGCCACAAUCUGGGAAUGUAGGUCCUCUGAACUCGCCCCCCUGCCUUGGACCAGACACUACCCCUUUUAGUUUCCCCCACACCCCUCAUCAGCAGGCAGCAUAUGGGGAACUAAGAUUUGGCCAUUUCUGUGCCUUUAUCGCUGCUCCAGACCCUGAAGCCUUUCCUGAAAUCCCCGGGGGCUCUCAUCCUUUAUUCCUAAAUGGCUGCCAGGUUCCUAUGACCCUGACCUCGGUGCUCCUGGCCUCUGCUUUGACCUCCUUCCCGCCUCUCACCAUUGGAUUUAUUCCUGAAGAAGGAUCAAAGUCUGUUGGUUCUGGAAGGAAACGCAGCCCAUCUAGUCAAGUCUUUUUGAGUUAUAUCAAAAAUAAAACAGAUCCACAGAUAGGGAGGAUUCCCUGCUGUCCUGACCUCCUGGGGAGACUGAUCCUCCAGCCUGCCCCCCCGCAGACCCCGAUGUCAAGGCUGGUUCUGGCCCUUCUCCACCAGCCGGUCACUCCAGACAGCAGCUCUGUUUGAGAUUUCAUGAUGUGUGUUGUGUGCACUCACAGAACCACAAGUGUGUCUGUGUGUUCAUGCCACCUUCAUGUCUGAAAUCGGUCUAGAACUUGCUUUUCCAUACACCCAUCUUCUCUGCAAAUAUCAAAAGGGAGAACUUGACCAGGAAUAGAGAAACACCUAUUGACUAAAAAGACACACUUCUACUUUUUGAGGAUUCUAUGUUUUCAGAUCUUUUGGAGUGAAUGUAAGUGAAAUAUUUACCUGGUUUCUCUCUCCUUGGUCGUGAGAGCUCCUAAAACUCCUUUUCAAAAGAUAAGAUCAGAGUUCCUGUUAUGGCUCAGCUGGUUAAAACCCUGACAUAGUGUCUGUGAGGAUGCAGGUUUGAUCCCUGGCCUUGCUCAGUGGGUUAAGGAUCCGGCGUUGCCACAGGCUGCAGUGACAUUCACAGAUGUGGCUCAGAUUCCAUGUUGCUGUGACUGUGGUGUGGGCUGGCAGCUGCAGCUGCAGUUUGACCCCUAGCCUGGGAACUUCCAUAGGCUGCAGAUGCAGCCAUUAAAAAAAAGCAAACGAUCAUCUACGUUUGAUGCAUUAAUUAACGCAGCAGGAUUUAAAGAAUAGAAUUAUUUUGACUUUUAAGUCUUGGUCUAUAUCUGCCUUUAGCAAGAGAGGCUGCGUUUUUCUCCAUGGAAAUGAGCUUGAGAAUAUUGUGUGUUUGAAUGAAUCAGUGACCCUGUUAAUUUCUCCUCAUCUGGAUGAUGUCAUGAGAUCUAUGGAAGCACUUCCAGGAAGGCAGUCUGAUGGCUUAGCUGUGUUAAGAUGCUGCAGACUCUCCAAAUCAUGUAUUUACAUAUGAGCUUCUGUAAAUUGUCCCAGCGCAAGCCCAACAACAAAAAUAAACAUGAG
rnacentral:lncRNA from 1 species